rfam:Ictidomys tridecemlineatus contig071413, whole genome shotgun sequence.
GGGGUUGUAGCUCAAUGGUAGAGUACUUGCCUUGCACGCAUGAAUCCCUGGGUUUGAACCUCAGAACCACA